UCUUGCAAUGAAUUGUUUAAUAUAUAUCACCUAAUGGCACUGCUUCUUUAGUUGAACCCUGGCUGGUACCAGAGGUUAGGUGGUUAUUUGGUGACAGCCCAUUAACUAUUUUUCAGUAAGAGUAACCCUGCUUUAUGAACCAGAAUAAUAAAACUCAAUCUUCAACUCUGUGUAACAAAUGACCCUAACAUUGUUUGAGUGUCUAUAAGCACAUAAUCUGUCUGGCUUCUCUGCAGCAUAACCACUGAGAUCCCCAGUCCAUUAUAUUUCUCUUGCUGAGCAGCAUGCAUGGUAUACCUAAGAAAUAAUUAUAAAUAAAUACUGUCUUGUUUCAGAAUAAAGUCCAGGCAGAUUUUUUUAAACAAAUUUCAAGAGAAGCAAAGUGAUCUCGAGGUAAAGUCAUCUGCCAUCAGUGUUAGAAGUUGACACUUCCACAUGUGUAAAAAUGUAUGUGCCUAACCUUGCAGCUCAGUGCAUGCUCUGAGUGAACGCAGGCUGAGUGAGCAGAGGACAAACAGACCCGGAAUUGCAGGCCAGCAGGAAAUGAAAAAAUGGAGAGUUUUUCUUAAAGGCAAAUUCACCACUUAAGAAAUAAGACAAGCAGCUCAGGGGAGCCUGGGUGACUCGCACAAUGGAAGCCACAGCCAUGAGAUGGAAGAGGAGCAUGAUAAGCCAGAGAACACAGGAGAGCCAUACACAUGGAUGGAUCCUGGAAACAGUCAUUACCAUCUUGGAUAAAGGCUCACAAGGCUGUAUCUUCACUGAUCUAUGGUUGUGGGACUAUAUGUGAGCUUUUUCUUUGUUUUCUCCAUCUUCCAAGUUCUCUAUAAUGAGAAUAUCAUCAUAAGAAUAGCUACAAUGUAAAAAAAAAAAAAAAAAAAGCUAUAAUAUAUAAGAUUUCAAGGUGGCCUAAAAUUAUGCUAUUCAUUUAAUUCUCAAAAUAGCCAUAUAAAAUAAAAGGAUGUUAUUACCCUAGUUUAACACAUGAAUCCUGCUGAACGCUAAGGAAAACAAAAAACCCAAGCUAUGGAACUCUUGAAAAAUAGAACUUGGAUCUGAAUCUAUGUCUGUAUAAGAUUAAGUUUCAGCCACAACUAAUGUAUGUUACUCCUUUUGUAAAAAUUAUUUAUUUUAGGGACGACUGUGUGGUCCAGUGGUUGAGCAUUUGCCUUUGGCUCAGCUUGUGAU